rnacentral:rRNA from 1 species
GCUGGCGGCGUGCUUAACACAUGCAAGUCGAACGGAAAGGCCCUGCUUUUGUGGGGUGCUCGAGUGGCGAACGGGUGAGUAACACGUGAGUAACCUGCCCUUGACUUUGGGAUAACUUCAGGAAACUGGGGCUAAUACCGGAUAGGAGCUCCUGCUGCAUGGUGGGGGUUGGAAAGUUUCGGCGGUUGGGGAUGGACUCGCGGCUUAUCAGCUUGUUGGUGGGGUAGUGGCUUACCAAGGCUUUGACGGGUAGCCGGCCUGAGAGGGUGACCGGCCACAUUGGGACUGAGAUACGGCCCAGACUCCUACGGGAGGCAGCAGUGGGGAAUAUUGCACAAUGGGCGGAAGCCUGAUGCAGCAACGCCGCGUGCGGGAUGACGGCCUUCGGGUUGUAAACCGCUUUCGCCUGUGACGAAGCGUGAGUGACGGUAAUGGGUAAAGAAGCACCGGCUAACUACGUGCCAGCAGCCGCGGUGAUACGUAGGGUGCGAGCGUUGUCCGGAUUUAUUGGGCGUAAAGGGCUCGUAGGUGGUUGAUCGCGUCGGAAGUGUAAUCUUGGGGCUUAACCCUGAGCGUGCUUUCGAUACGGGUUGACUUGAGGAAGGUAGGGGAGAAUGGAAUUCCUGGUGGAGCUGUGGAAUGCGCAGAUAUCAGGAGGAACACCAGUGGCGAAGGCGGUUCUCUGGGCCUUUCCUGACGCUGAGGAGCGAAAGCGUGGGGAGCGAACAGGCUUAGAUACCCUGGUAGUCCACGCUGUAAACGGUGGGUACUAGGUGUGGGGUCCAUUCCACGGGUUCCGUGCCGUAGCUAACGCUUUAAGUACCCCGCCUGGGGAGUACGGCCGCAAGGCUAAAACUCAAAGGAAUUGACGGGGCCCCGCACAAGCGGCGGAGCAUGCGGAUUAAUUCGAUGCAACGCGUAGAACCUUACCUGGGUUUGACAUGGAUCGGGAGUGCUCAGAGAUGGGUGUGCCUCUUUUGGGGUCGGUUCACAGGUGGUGCAUGGCUGUCGUCAGCUCGUGUCGUGAGAUGUUGGGUUAAGUCCCGCAACGAGCGCAACCCUUGUUCACUGUUGCCAGCACGUUAUGGUGGGGACUCAGUGGAGACCGCCGGGGUCAACUCGGAGGAAGGUGGGGAUGACGUCAAGUCAUCAUGCCCCUUAUGUCCAGGGCUUCACGCAUGCUACAAUGGCUGGUACAGAGAGUGGCGAGCCUGUGAGGGUGAGCGAAUCUCGGAAAGCCGGUCUCAGUUCGGAUUGGGGUCUGCAACUCGACCUCAUGAAGUCGGAGUCGCUAGUAAUCGCAGAUCAGCAACGCUGCGGUGAAUACGUUCCCGGGGCUUGUACACACCGCCCGUCAAGUCAUGAAAGUUGGUAACACCCGAAGCCGGAGGCCUAACCGUUGUGGGGGAGCCGUCGAAGGUGGGACUGGA